rnacentral:tRNA from 1 species
GGAAAGAUGCCGGAGUGGUCGAUCGGGGCGGUCUCGAAAACCGUUGUGCCUUUUGGUACCCAGGGUUCGAAUCCCUGUCUUUCCGCCA